UUUUCUUCUGAGACCAAAAGAAGAAGACAUCAAGGAAGAACUCUUACACUGAGAUUUGAAAAAGGAAACGAAUAAGCAUAAGAUGUCCCAGUCACAUGAUUCUAUCGAGUUCUCAGUGAAAUGAACACUGGAGAGUACGAGGAGACUCUAGUUGAAGAGGCACAAGUCUCCCAGCAAAUGGGAAGAGCCAUGUCCUCCACCGGCACUGGGAGAGCCAGGGAUCUCCCACACUCUGCUGUUGUCUAAAUCCCUUCAAGCACAUGCAGCAUGGUUGCUGGGACUGAAGUCUGAAGAGCAGUUUCUCCAGGUGGCCUCCUGUAGGUGACUCGGACACAGGAUUCAACUUAGCUGUCGGCUUUGCACGUCUGAAUUAGAGAUGGAAUAUAUAAGGGGAAGAGACGGCCAUCUAAAUAAUUGAGGUGCUGAUUUGGGGAACCUAGACGCUGUGUUUGUGUGGAGGACAGCUUUGAUUCCUGCUACCAUCUUCUUUGCCAUAGAUUCAGAGAAGCUAAGAAGAUCAUGCUUGGGGCCUUCGGAAGUCAAGUCCAGUGCCGUUGGACAAUGUCCAGCUUUGUCGGCAUCCCAGAGAUGAAUCCCAGUGCUCUCGUUUCUCACUGAAAGUCGGCUUCA